CCGCCGCAGACUGGAUAAUAAUGUUAUAAUUGUAGUGGUUACUAUUUUUAUCCGCGAUGCUGACGUCACCUUGCGCUAAUUGAGAGUCGGCUUCGGCAAGGAUGGAAGCAACGGUAGGAAUGGCGCCUAACUUGAGGAAGGCAAGUUUCUUGGUGCGAUUACCGAUGAUCUGGUUCUUGAUUUCUCUGAGGGCCUUGAGCUUGAUAUCAGGGUCAGGUGAGGCGAGACGGUUGAGGAGGUCCAUAGGGCGGUGAGCAAGGGCAGCGGAGGCAGUUGGCAUGGUGGCGUAUUGGCAUUAAAGCAAGCUCCACGAGGGAGCCGGAGGGUAUCGCCGGGCGGGAGAAAUUAAGCGAGAGGACAGGUUACGAGAUUUGUUAUUAUUGAAGGAGUGAAAAGGA
rnacentral:misc_RNA from 1 species